AUUGAACGCUGGCGGCAGGCCUAACACAUGCAAGUCGAACGGUAACAGGAAGCAGCUUGCUGCUUUGCUGACGAGUGGCGGACGGGUGAGUAAUGUCUGGGAAACUGCCUGAUGGAGGGGGAUAACUACUGGAAACGGUAGCUAAUACCGCAUAACGUCGCAAGACCAAAGAGGGGGACCUUCGGGCCUCUUGCCAUCGGAUGUGCCCAGAUGGGAUUAGCUAGUAGGUGGGGUAACGGCUCACCUAGGCGACGAUCCCUAGCUGGUCUGAGAGGAUGACCAGCCACACUGGAACUGAGACACGGUCCAGACUCCUACGGGAGGCAGCAGUGGGGAAUAUUGCACAAUGGGCGCAAGCCUGAUGCAGCCAUGCCGCGUGUAUGAAGAAGGCCUUCGGGUUGUAAAGUACUUUUCAGCGGGGAGGAAGGCGAUAAGGUUAAUAACCUUGUCGAUUGACGUUACCCGCAGAAGAAGCACCGCUAACCC
rnacentral:rRNA from 1 species